rnacentral:tRNA from 1 species
UGUAUGUAAUUUAAAAAAAAAAACAAGCUGUGACCUUGACAACAGGAUA